rnacentral:rRNA from 1 species
GACGAACGCUGGCGGCGUGCUUAACACAUGCAAGUCGAACGGAGUGGCGAACGGGUGAGUAACACGUGGGUGACCCGCCAUGCACUUCGGGAUAAGCCUGGGAAACUGGUUCUAAUACCGGAUAGUGUGGGAUGGGCCCGCGGCCUAUCAGCUUGUUGGUGGGGUAAUGGCCUACCAAGGCGGCGACGGGUAGACGGCCUGGGAGGGUGGACGGCCGCAUUGGGACUUGGAAACGGGCCAGGCGCCUACGGGAGGCAGCAGUGGGGAAUAUUGCACGAUGGGCGGAAGCCGGAUGCAGAGACGCCGCGGGGGGGAUGACGGCUUUCGGGUUGUAAACUCCUUUCACCAUCGACGCGGUAGGUGGAGAAGAAGCACCGGCUAACUACGUGCCAGCAGCCGCGGGAAUAC